CCCGCUGAACUUAAGCAUAUCAAUAAGCGGAGAGAAAAGAAACCAACAGGGAUUGCCCUAGUAACGGCGAGUGAAGCGGCUACAGCUCAUAUUUGAAAUCUGGCUCUUUCAGAGUCCGAGUUGUAAUUUGCAGAGGGCGCUUUGGCUUUAGCUGCGGUCCAAGUUCCUUGGAACAGGUCGUCACAGAGGGUGAGAAUCCCGUACGUGGUCGCUAGUUUUCGCCGUGUAAAGCCCCUUCGACGAGUCGAGUUGUUUGGGAAUGCAGCUCUAAAUGGGAGGUAAAUUUCUUCUAAAGCUAAAUACUGGCCAGAGACCGAUAGCGCACAAGUAGAGUGAUCGAAAGAUGAAAAGCACUUUGGAAAGAGAGUCAAAUAGCACGUGAAAUUGUUGAAAGGGAAGCGCUUGCAGCCAGACUUGCCUGUAGUUGCUCAUCCGGGCUUUUGCCCGGUGCAUUCUUCUGUAGGCAGGCCAGCAUCAGUUUGGGCGGUUGGAUAAAGGUCUCUGUCAUGUACCUCCUUUCGGGGAGUCCUUAUAGGGGAGGCGACAUGCAACCAGUCUGGACUGAGGUCCGCGCAUCUGCUAGGAUGCUGGCGUAAUGGCUGUAAGCGGCCCGUCUUGAAACACGG
rnacentral:rRNA from 1 species